rnacentral:rRNA from 1 species
GACGAACGCUGGCGGCGCGCCUAACACAUGCAAGUCGAACGAGCGAGAGAGAGCUUGCUUUCUCGAGCGAGUGGCGAACGGGUGAGUAUCGCGUGAGGAACCUGCCUCAAAGAGGGGGACAACAGUUGGAAACGACUGCUAAUACCGCAUAAGACCACGGUGCCGCAUGGCACUGAGGGAAAAGGAGCCGUCCGCUUUGAGAUGGCCUCGCGUCCGAUUAGCUAGUUGGUUAGGUAAUGUCCCAACAAGGCGACGAUCCGUAGCCGGACUGAGAGGUUGAACGGCAACAUUGGGACUGGGACACGGACCAGACUCCUACGGGAGGCAGAAGUGCGGAAUAUUGCACAAUGGGGGAAGCCCUGAUGCAGCGGCGCCGCGUGGAGGAAGAAGGUCUUCAGAUUGUAAACUCCUGUUGUUGGGGAAGAUAAUGACGGUACCCAACAAGAAAGUGACGGCUAACUACGUG